rnacentral:tRNA from 1 species
GGGGUUGUAGCUCAUUAGUAGAGGACUUGCUUCACAAGCAGGAGGCCCUGGGUUUGAUCCUCAGCACCA